AAGUUUAGGUUAUCCCAAACAAACCAAGGACCUUCAAA
rnacentral:tRNA from 1 species